ensembl:lncRNA
AUAUCAAUAAUCUUAUGAACUCGAGUGUAUGAGUGGAUGUGGUUGUAAAAUUACAAAGUCAAUGCAGAGAUCUACUGGGUAAGGAAAAUGGUAGUUGGAUUUUUGGAAGGCUGAUUGACUUGAGGCUGGAAAUGGGAGUGUUUUGUUUUUCUUUUCUCUCUUUGGUCCUCCCAUGCCAUUUCCCAAAUGCUAUCUCAUGAGUGGGGGGAUUAAUAAAAAAUACUUUUCACUGGAAAUCUCUUACCACCUAUAGGUUUAUAGGUAUAGUCUUUUUUUUUAAUUAAAAAAGUCAUGGACUUUUAUUAUCAUUCACAUACUUCACAGAAAAGGAAAUGUAGCAAAUGGGUCAGAGUUGUAUAAAAAGACAUCUGGGAACAGGACGGUCCUGAUAUCCAGCACAGCUGCACUGUCCCAUGCCCCUUUGCAGAUGAGGUCCUGGGCACACUUGGCACAGCCCACAGAGCAGCAGGAGCAGCAGCUCUUCUUGCAGAAGGUGCAUUUGCAUUUUUUGCAUUUUCAGGAUCCAGCACAGGUGCAGGAGCCACCAGUGGUCAGGAACAGCUGCAGUUCGUUUGGACCAAGGAGGAGACUGGACACACACAGAGGAGAAGACCACAUGAAGAAAGGUCUGAAGAUACUGGUCUUGAUUAGAGUGAAGAGGGAACAAUCCAAGGAACGCCCACAAUGACCAGGAGCUGGAAGAGGCAAAAGGAUGAAUUCUCCCCUAAAGCCUCCACAGAGAGCAUGGCCCUGCUGACAUCUUGGUUUCAGCCUAGUGAUACUGAUUUUGGGUUUUUGGCCUCCAGAACUGUAAGUAAAUAGAUCUGUGCUGUUUCAAGCCAUCAGAUUUGUGGUAAUUUGUUAUAGCAGGUUCAGGAAAGUAACACAGUAGGACUGGCACUUCCAUGUGCAAGUUAGAUGUAGCCAUGUGUUUGCUUUGGCUGACUCCAAGUGAGUGGAAGUGAUAUGUGUCUUUAGGGCAAGUGCCUGCUUUUCCAUGUUCUCUUUUCCAUUUGGUGAUGGAAAGUUUGGAGAUGGUAGCUGUCUUGUUGUCCUGGUAGAUUAGAGUUCUCCAGAGAGAAUCAAUAGGAUAUAUAUAUAUAUAUAUAUAUAUGAAAAAUGUCUUUUAUAUAAAAUUAUUCUAUAUAUAAAAAUACAUAUUUAUAUGUUGCAUAUAUUAAUUUAUUAUAGGAAUUGACCUGUGUGAUUACAGAGGCUCAGAAGUCCUGUGAUCUGCCAUCUUCAAGCUGGAGAACCAGGAACCUGAUAGAGUAAUUCAGUCUGAAUCUGAGGCCUGAGAACUGUGGGGUUCAGUGGGGACAGGCUGAUGGUUUAAUUUCCUGGCCCAAAUCAGAAGACUUGAGGAUGAGGAGUAUGAAUUCUCAGGUCAGGAGAAGAAGAAUGUCCCAGUUCAAAGAGAGGAGAGUGAAUUCACCCUUUCUCUACAUUUUCAUUUUAUUUAUGCUCUCAACAAAUCGGAUGAUGGUUGCCCACAUUAGUGAUGGUGAUCUUCUUUACUCACUCUACCAAUUCAAAUGCAAAUCUUUUCCUGAAACACCUGUACACAUUAGAAAUAAUGCUUUUUACCAGCUAUCUGGGCAUCCCUUAGUCCUGCCAAGUUGACAUACAAAAUUAACUAUCAUGCUUGGGUCUCUGAGUGACCAUGUUGAAAAGAACUCCCUUGUUGACUUACAAAGAACAUAAGUGUGAUUGCAAAAUUAAUCUUUGUGGUUUCAGGCUCCUGAGACUUAGGGAUUGUUUUGCAAGCCUCUCCUAGCUGGAGGAAAGGAGGCUGAUUGGCUGCUGUUGAAACAUUCCCAGUAACUCUUUGUUGUACCUUUUGUUCUUCAGUGGUCCUGUGGUCCCUGGAACCUCUCCUCUGGAAUCCCAGGGAAGCCAGGACAGUCACAAGCCAUGACCUCCAUAUUUAGCAUCUCAUGUGAUGAUAAUGCAUAAUUCAAGGUUCUAUAGUCAAAUAAGUCUAGAAAUGCUGGGCUAUUCAAGGUGAAAUGGUUUAAUCUUCCUAUAAGAUUUCUCAGAGGCUUCUGCAUACAGUGCAGUUCUAUAGGAUGAGGAUGUAGUAUACAAUGCUUUAAAUCUCUAUUUGUCAGACUGAGGCAGAUCCCAGGUGAAACUAGCUCUUUAUAGCAUUGGGCCAUGAUACUUCCCAUGUGUAUCAUUAACACACCACAUUCCCUCACCCAGCUGACCCGGGGCAGCGUAGGUGUAGGAUAGCUUUAACCUGUCUACCUGUUCAGUAUGAAAUGGACUGUAUUAGACUGUCAGGAUAGCAGAUUAAUACAUAACUUAUAGACUUUUACCUGACAGAUGAUGAGGGCAGGCUUUAGGUGCAAUGGUGGAGUGAUUUGCCUGAGUUUUUCUUAUUCCCUGCAUUUGCCACUUUGUGCCUGCCCCAAAGCCUGGUUGUUUGAAGGAUGGAUCCAAGGGCUUGAACUUGCAGGGCCUCUUUUCAGCCAUUAUUUGGGUGCAUUCCACCUCGCAAUUUUCUUGGAUAUUUUUCCAUCUCUGCAAUGGUUGAAAUCCCAACCCUAGAGUUCUUGGAGCUCACAGGCACUAAGAAACAGGUCCCUGCUUUUUAUUACCCAUAGUCUUUGGAAAGACUUAAAGUGCUCUUUUAACAUUCAAGACCACAUGAAUCUUUAUGAGAAAAAUAAUGUUUGCCAAAAUGAAGAAUCAGCAUAAAAGUUCAAGUGACCUGACUAAUAAAAAAGUAAAUAAGUAAAAAUAAAAAGGGACUUGACUGGUCCCACGCUUAACAGAACCUGGCAGAAAAGUCAGUCCUUCUGGCAUUGUUGAGUACCUGUGAUAAAUUUCAAAAAUGGGCUCCAAUUCUUCACCACUCCCCAGAUCCACUCCCUUUAUACAGCUCUUCCCCUUGGUGUGUUGUUUUGAUUCUUCCUUCACUCUGAACUCAGCCGUGUGGUUUGCUGUGGGCCAGUGGUGCACCAGCU